UCUGUUACUCAGGCCCUAGUCUGAAGACGCUUAGAUGUCAGGAACAGGGGGCUCAAAGGAGGGGGGAAGAAGAAAAUCGGGCAGGAAGAUGGCUCAGAUGCAGGUCUGGCUCUCAUUUGGGCAUCUUCAUGGUGCUGACACACCUUCUUUGAGCCCGAAACAAAGGGCCAGUAUGGAGAUGGACACACAAUGGGUUAAGUUCCUGGAAAUUUGUUUCCCCAAGUUCUUUAUACAGAGAUAUGUUCCUUACAGUCACGUCACCCCCUGAAAACAAUAGAAAACUGUCUCAACAGGUUUUCGCCCCAUCAUGUUUGUGAGCAGAAGAUCCAAAGUGUGCCGUCCUCAGUAGAACAUCCUGUGGAAGAAAGUGAAGGCUGUGUAGUGGGAGAAUUAAUUAAGUUGAAUGACGAAGGAGCCAGAACUACUAAAGCCAUAGAAGUGUUUCUGGCGGAGGGUAGAUCAAAAGAUUGGUGGGAGGAGCUAGAUGACGGGAGAUGGGAAGAUAUAAAGGGGGAGGAGAGAGAGAGAGGGAGAGAGUCCCCAGGGGAGGAAAAAGGUGUGCAGACUGGGGAGACUGGAGUGGAAAGAGAUAGAAUAGUCAAACUUAUAAGAGACUUCCCCAAUCUAAUGAAAGAAGAUGGUUUGUUGCCUGUGCCACCAGAGCUGAGAAAGAAGAAUCAGGGUGAGCCAGCACAGGGAUGGAGUCGGGAAGUGGGUUCACUUAUUUGGAUGUCAGAGAACAGUGGGACCCCUUGUGGAGUCAGUCCUUACCUACCCAGAUUGGAGGGUUUGGUUGUGAAACACCCAUGUUGGGGUGAAGAAAAUGUGAAUGUUGAGAAGUAUGUUGAUGUUGUGAAACCGAAGAAGUAUAACUUGUUGACAGAAAACAAUUUGUUAGACCCGUUUGGUCUUGUUUUGCCUGAUGUUAUUGUAAUAAAACGAAGUUAUUUGGGACAGUAACGUCUACACCUUCAGUCCUUCCUACUGAAACUCCAGGCCCACCUACUUUAACCAAGGAACCCAAUCACAAUGUUAUU
rnacentral:lncRNA from 1 species